CUACGGGAGGCAGCAGUGGGGAAUAUUGGACAAUGGGCGCAAGCCUGAUCCAGCCAUGCCGCGUGAGUGAUGACGGCCCUAGGGUUGUAAAGCUCUUUCGCCAGGGACGAUAAUGACGGUACCUGGAUAAGAAGCCCCGGCUAACUUCGUGCCAGCAGCCGCGGUAAUACGAAGGGGGCUAGCGUUGUUCGGAAUUACUGGGCGUAAAGCGCACGUAGGCGGAUAUUUAAGUCAGGGGUGAAAUCCCGGGGCUCAACCCCGGAACUGCCUUUGAUACUGGGUAUCUGGAGUAUGGAAGAGGUGAGUGGAAUUCCGAGUGUAGAGGUGAAAUUCGUAGAUAUUAGGAAGAACACCAGUGGCGAAGGCGGCUCACUGGUCCGGUACUGACGCUGAGGUGCGAAAGCGUGGGGAGCAAACAGGAUUAGAAACCCGUGUAGUCC
rnacentral:rRNA from 1 species